rnacentral:rRNA from 1 species
UGGGGAAUCUUGGACAAUGGGGGCAACCCUGAUCCAGCCAUGCCGCGUGAGUGAUGAAGGCCUUAGGGUCGUAAAGCUCUUUCGCCUGUGAAGAUAAUGACGGUAGCAGGUAAAGAAACCCCGGCUAACUCCGUGCCAGCAGCCGCGGUAAUACGGAGGGGGUUAGCGUUGUUCGGAAUUACUGGGCGUAAAGCGCACGUAGGCGGACCAGAAAGUUGGGGGUGAAAUCCCGGGGGCUCAACCCCGGAACUGCCUCCAAAACUAUUGGUCUAGAGUUCGAGAGAGGUGAGUGGAAUUCCAAGUGUAGAGGUGAAAUUCGUAGAUAUUUGGAGGAACACCAGUGGCGAAGGCGGCUCACUGGCUCGAUACUGACGCUGAGGUGCGAAAGUGUGGGGAGCAAACAGGAUUAGAUACCCUGGGUAGUCCACACCGUAAAACGAUGAAUGCCAGUCGUCGGGUAGC